rnacentral:rRNA from 1 species
UGGGGAAUAUUGCACAAUGGGCGCAGGCCUGAUGCAGCCAUGCCGCGUGUGUGAAGAAGGCCUUCGGGUUGUAAAGCACUUUCAGCGAGGAGGAAGGUGGUGAGCUUAAUACGCUCAUCAAUUGACGUUACUCGCAGAAGAAGCACCGGCUAACUCCGUGCCAGCAGCCGCGGUAAUACGGAGGGUGCAAGCGUUAAUCGGAAUUACUGGGCGUAAAGCGCACGCAGGCGGUUUGUUAAGUCAGNUGUGAAAUCCCCGGGCUCAACCUGGGAACUGCAUUUGAAACUGGCAAGCUAGAGUCUCGUAGAGGGGGGUAGAAUUCCAGGUGUAGCGGUGAAAUGCGUAGAGAUCUGGAGGAAUACCGGUGGCGAAGGCGGCCCCCCUGGACGAAGACUGACGCUCAGGUGCGAAAGCGUGGGGCAGCAAACAGGAUUAGAUACCCUGGUAGUCCAGCGCUGUAAACGAUGUCGAUUUGGAGGUUGUGCCCCUUGAGGCGUGGGCUUCCGGAGCUAACGCGUUAAAGUCGACCGCCNGGGGAGUACGGCGCAAGGUUAAAACUCAAAGGAAUUG